GAUGAACGCUAGCGGCAGGCCUAAUACAUGCAAGUCGAGCGGUAACAUGAGUAGCAAUACUUGAUGACGAGUGGCGCACGGGUGCGUAACACGUAUGUAAUUUUCCCAAAACUGGGGGAUAGCCCGGAGAAAUCCGGAUUAAUACCCCAUAACACAACGAAGUGGCAUCACUUUGUUGUUAAAUCUCCGGAGGUUUUGGAUGAACAUGCGUCCGAUUAGCUAGUUGGCGGGGAACGGCCCACCAAGGCAACGAUCGGUAGGGGUACUGAGACGGUUAAACCCCCACACUGG
rnacentral:rRNA from 1 species